GUGGGGAAUAUUGGACAAUGGGCGCAAGCCUGAUCCAGCCAUGCCGCGUGAGUGAUGAAGGCCUUCGGGUUGUAAAGCUCUUUAGUCCACGAAUAUAAUGACUGUAGUGGAAGAAUAAGCCCCGGCUAACUUCGUGCCAGCAGCCGCGGUAAUACGAAGGGGGCGAGCGUUAUUCGGAAUCACUGGGCGUAAAGCGUGCGUAGGCUGUUUUGUAAGUCAGAAGUGAAAGCCCAGGGCUUAACCCUGGAAUUGCUUUUGAAACUACAAGACUCGAAUUCGGGAGAGGAUAGCGGAAUUGUCAGUGUAGCAGUGAAAUGCGUAGAUAUUGACAGGAACACCAGUGGCGCAAGCGGCUAUCUGGACCGAUAUUGACGCUGAGGCACGAAAGCGUGGGGAGCAAACAGGAUUAGAAACCCGAGUAGUCC
rnacentral:rRNA from 1 species